rnacentral:tRNA from 2 species
GCAUUGGUGGUUCAGUGGUAGAAUUCUCGCCUGCCACGCGGGCGGCCUGGGUUCGAUUCCCGGCCAAUGCA